GACGAACGCUGGCGGCGUGCCUAAUACAUGCAAGUAGAACGCACAGGACGCACCGUAGUUUACUACACCGUAUUCUGUGAGUUGCGAACGGGUGAGUAACGCGUAGGUAACCUGCCUGGUAGCGGGGGAUAACUAUUGGAAACGAUAGCUAAUACCGCAUAAGAACAUUUACUGCAUGGUAGAUGUUUAAAAGGUGCAAAUGCAUCACUACCAGAUGGACCUGCGUUGUAUUAGCUAGUAGGUGAGGUAACGGCUCACCUAGGCGACGAUACAUAGCCGACCUGAGAGGGUGAUCGGCCACACUGGGACUGAGACACGGCCCAGACUCCUACGGGAGGCAGCAGUAGGGAAUCUUCGGCAAUGGGGGGAACCCUGACCGAGCAACGCCGCGUGAGUGAAGAAGGUUUUCGGAUCGUAAAGCUCUGUUGUUAAGGAAGAACGAGUGUGAGAAUGGAAAGUUCAUACUGUG
rnacentral:rRNA from 1 species